rnacentral:misc_RNA from 1 species
UACGGAGGGGGUUAGCGUUGUUCGGAAUCACUGGGCGUAAAGCGCGCGUAGGCGGAUCAGAAAGUUGGGGGUGAAAUCCCGGGGCUCAACCCCGGAACUGCCUCCAAAACUCCUGGUCUUGAGUUCGAGAGAGGUGAGUGGAAUUCCGAGUGUAGAGGUGAAAUUCGUAGAUAUUCGGAGGAAUACCAGUGGCGAAGGCGGCUCACUGGCUCGAUACCGACGCUGAGGUGCGAAAGUGUGGGGAGAGAACGGG